rnacentral:rRNA from 1 species
AGUGAACGCUGGCGAUAGGCCUAACACAUGCAAGUCGAACGGCAGCACAGUAAGAGCUUGCUCUUACGGGUGGCGAGUGGCGGACGGGUGAGGAAUACAUCGGAAUCUACUUUUUCGUGGGGGAUAACGUAGGGAAACUUACGCUAAUACCGCAUACGACCUACGGGUGAAAGCAGGGGAUCUUCGGACCUUGCGCGAUUGAAUGAGCCGAUGUCGGAUUAGCUAGUUGGCGGGGUAAAGGCCCACCAAGGCGACGAUCCGUAGCUGGUCUGGGAGGAUGAUCAGCCACACUGGAACUGAGACACGGUCCAGACUCCUACGGGAGGCAGCAGUGGGGAAUAUUGGACAAUGGGCGCAAGCCUGAUCCAGCCAUACCGCGUGGGUGAAGAAGGCCUUCGGGUUGUAAAGCCCUUUUGUUGGGAAAGAAAAGCAGCAGGUUAAUACCCCGCUGUUCUGACGGUACCCAAAGAAUAAGCACCGGCUAACUUCGUG